CAAGAAAUAGUUUAUUAAAAACAUUAAUUUUGGGGAUUAAAAUUAUAAAUUAUUUUAUUUUCUUGA
rnacentral:tRNA from 1 species